rnacentral:lncRNA from 1 species
GUGCUGAAGCAGUAGGUCCUUUAGCACCUAAAGGUGGUGGCGGAGGUGGUGCACCACCCGGUGGUCUAGGUGGAGCACGAGCUCCUGGUGGUGGAGGCGGAGCUGGAGCUCCACGCAGUGGAGGAGGUGGGGGAGGUGGCCCCCCACCAGCAGGAGGAGGUGGAGGUGGUGGGGGAGGUGGCCCCCCACCAGCAGGAGGAGGUGGAGGUGGUGGGGCUCCACGCAUUGGAGGAGGUGGCGGUGGUGGUGCCCCACGCUCUGGAGGAGGUGGCGGAGGAGGGGCACCGUGUGUUGGUGGAGGUGGUGGUGGAGGCGGUAUUCCAUGAAUUAAGGGAGGCGGUGGAGUUGGAGCUCUAAUUGUUGGUGGUGGAGGUGGAGGUGGAGUUCCUUGUAAAGGGGGUGGGGGUGGAGCUCUAUGCAUAGGAGGUGGUGGAGAAGGAGCUCCAAGCUUGGGAGGGGAGGGGAGGGGGAGGUGGUGGAGGUGGAGGCGGAGUAGGAAUCCCAACUCCUAUAGGUUUUGAUGCACCGGUAAAAGGCGGUGGUUGGGAAGGGGGCGAAGGAAUUGACAAUUUAGCUGGAGCAACCACAACAUUCCCAGAAUUCCAAGGGGGAGGUGGUGGCGGAGGUGGUAAA